rnacentral:rRNA from 1 species
AGAGUUUGAUCCUGGCUCAGGAUGAACGCUAGCGGGAGGCUUAACACAUGCAAGUCGAGGGGUAUGAUUAGCAAUAGUCAGAGACCGGCGCACGGGUGAGUAACGCGUAUGCAACCUGCCCUUUACAGGGGGAUGGCCCGUCGAAAGGCGGAUUAAUACCCCAUAAUAUUGUACUACUGCAUGGUAGAACGAUAAAAGUUUCGGCGGUAAAGGAUGGGCAUGCGUGACAUUAGCUGGUUGGUAGGGUAACGGCCUACCAAGGCUACGAUGUCUAGGGGUUCUGAGAGGAAGGUCCCCCACACUGGUACUGAGACACGGACCAGACUCCUACGGGAGGCAGCAGUGAGGAAUAUUGGUCAAUGGGCGGGAGCCUGAACCAGCCAUCCCGCGUGCAGGAAGACGGCCCUAUGGGUUGUAAACUGCUUUUGUGCAGGAAGAACGCUCGAUACGUGU